AUUCAUCUUCGGGGCAGGGUGCAAGUCCCUACCGGCGGUAAUUGAACUCUGUUCAUAAGCCCGCGAGCCGUAAAACGCAGGAUUUGGUGAGAUUCCAAAGCCGACAGUAUAGUCUGGAUGGGAGAAGGUGAAG
rfam:Planococcus sp. PAMC 21323, complete genome.